rnacentral:tRNA from 1 species
GGCCUCGUAGUUUAGGUGGUUAGAGCGUUGGAUAUAAUAAAGCCCUCCCAUUGCUGUCGUGGGUUCAAAUCCCAUCGAGGCCG